GGGCGAAAGCCUGAUGCAGCGACGCCGCGUGAGGGAUGACGGCCUUCGGGUUGUAAACCUCUUUCAGCAGGGAAGAAGCCACAAGUGACGGUACCUGCAGAAGAAGCGCCGGCUAACUACGUGCCAGCAGCCGCGGUAAUACGUAGGGCGCAAGCGUUGUCCGGAAUUAUUGGGCGUAAAGAGCUCGUAGGCGGUUUGUCGCGUCUGCUGUGAAAGCCCGGGGCUUAACCCCGGGUGUGCAGUGGGUACGGGCAGACUAGAGUGCAGUAGGGGAGACUGGAAUUCCUGGUGUAGCGGUGGAAUGCGCAGAUAUCAGGAGGAACACCGAUGGCGAAGGCAGGUCUCUGGGCUGUUACUGACGCUGAGGAGCGAAAGCAUGGGGAGCGAACAGGAUUAGAUACCCUGGUAGUCCAUGCCGUAAACGUUGGGCACUAGGUGUGGGGGACAUUCCACGUUUUCCGCGCCGUAGCUAACGCAUUAAGUGCCCCGCCUCGG
rnacentral:rRNA from 1 species